rnacentral:tRNA from 1 species
GCUGGGGUUGUGGCUCAGCGGUAGAGUGCUUGCCUGGCAGAUGCGAGGACCUGGGUUUGAUUCUCAGCACGGCA